rnacentral:rRNA from 1 species
GACAGAGGGUGCAAACGUUGUUCGGAAUUACUGGGCGUAAAGCGCACGUAGGCGGCUUUGUAAGUUAGAGGUGAAAAGCCCCGGAGCUCAACUCCGGAACUGCCUUUAAGACUGCAUCGCUAGAAUCAUGGAGAGGUGAGUGGAAUUCCGAGUGUAGAGGUGAAAAUUCGUAGAUAUUCGGAAGAACACCAGUGGCGAAGGCGACUCACUGGACAUGUAUUGACGCUGAGGUGCGAAAGCGUGGGGAGCAAACAGG